ACGCUCGACACCUACAGGAGGCAGCAGUGGGGAAUAUUGCACAAUGGGGGAAACCCUGAUGCAGCGACGCCGCGUGAGUGAAGAAGUAUUUCGGUAUGUAAAGCUCUAUCAGCAGGGAAGAAAAUGACGGUACCUGACUAAGAAGCCCCGGCUAACUACGUGCCAGCAGCCGCGGUAAUCUGAGCGGGCUGGCAAGGC
rnacentral:rRNA from 1 species